rnacentral:pre_miRNA from 1 species
UGUAGAUUAAAGGCAAAUGUUACCUGAACAGGAGCAUUUUCUAUUAUGUGUUUUUUAGUAAGUGCUACCUUGUUUGGGUGACAUUUACCU